rnacentral:rRNA from 1 species
UGCGUAGGUGGUUGGAUAAGUCAGAUGUGAAAUCCCCGGGCUCAACCUGGGAAUGGCAUUUGGUACUAUUCGGCUAGAGUGCAGUAGAGGAAAGUGGAAUUUCCGGUGUAGCGGUGAAAUGCGUAGAUAUCGGAAGGAACAUCAGUGGCGAAGGCGACUUUCUGGACUGUAACUGACACUGAGGCACGAAAGCGUGGGGAGCGAACA